rnacentral:rRNA from 1 species
UACGUAGGGUGCAAGCGUUAAUCGGAAUUACUGGGCGUAAAGCGUGCGCAGGCGGUGAUGUAAGACAGAUGUGAAAUCCCCGGGCUCAACCUGGGAACUGCAUUUGUGACUGCAUCGCUGGAGUGCGGCAGAGGGGGAUGGAAUUCCGCGUGUAGCAGUGAAAUGCGUAGAUAUGCGGAGGAACACCGAUGGCGAAGGCAGCCUUCUGGGCCAACACUGACGCUCAUGCACGAAAGCGUGGGGAGCAAACAGGA